rnacentral:rRNA from 1 species
GAGUUUGAUCGUGGCUCAGAUUGAACGCUGGCGGCAGGCCUAACACAUGCAAGUCGAGCGGUAGAGAGAAGCUUGCUUCUCUUGAGAGCGGCGGACGGGUGAGUAAUGCCUAGGAAUCUGCCUGGUAGUGGGGGAUAACGCUCGGAAACGGACGCUAAUACCGCAUACGUCCUACGGGAGAAAGCAGGGGACCUUCGGGCCUUGCGCUAUCAGAUGAGCCUAGGUCGGAUUAGCUAGUUGGUGAGGUAAUGGCUCACCAAGGCGACGAUCCGUAACUGGUCUGAGAGGAUGAUCAGUCACACUGGAACUGAGACACGGUCCAGACUCCUACGGAGGCAGCAGUGGGGAAUAUUGGACAAUGGGCGAAAGCCUGAUCCAGCCAUGCCGCGUGUGUGAAGAAGGUCUUCGGAUUGUAAAGCACUUUAAGUUGGGAGGAAGGGCAGUAAAUUAAUACUUUGCUGUUUGACGUUACCGACAGAAUAAGCACCGGCUAACUCUGUGCCAGCAC